CAAAGCGCUUGCAGGUAACGAAUAUUCACGGCUUCAUGACACAGCUCUUUGUCUCGGCCUGGGCCUGCGCCUCACGUUGUAAAAGUGCACCUGACACUCUACUUUGAUGCCAAGAAACUGCUUCCCCGUCCUUUGAAACUGUCUCGGAUCUGAAGGAGCUGAAGACAGAUGCAGAAAGAGAUGGCCCGCCCCGGGCCUAAGAGAACAAUAUGGAGACGAGCGGUGCCCGUGCUUUACAUCUGGGGUGAUAAACCAGACGCAAAUGUCCCUCAACCUCUGAGAAUACACCAGACACAUUUAUGGACGCUCAUGAAACAGCAGAGGACAAAACAGACAAGAUCCCUGGUCCACAGCCCUCACCUUCUAGUGCAGAGGACAGAUGAAGAAGAGCAAAGAUGGCCAUCUCAGAUGAUCCUGAAAACCAGUAUGCAACAAAAUUCUCUAAUCCUCAUUCACACCUCAAGGGGGAAGACACUCAAAACAAACAAACAAACAAACCAAAAACUUAGCCUUGGCAUGCUGGCUUGCGGUCCCCUUGUGAGGUCAGCUCCACCGAAAGGCAUUGGUUCCCUGGCUACCCUGGUGUCUUCUGCCCCUGUGAGGGGUUCCCACUGAGGACAGAGCCCAGCAGGCGCACAGACUGCCAACCCUGCUCGCACCUGGUCCUUGCUGAUGGAUGACUGACAAGAAUCGAAAAAAGACGACGUACCCUUCUCCAAGAUACUUAAGAGGAACCGUGUAUAAUAGUGAUGGAUGGGGUGGUGCCUGGAGGAAGGGUGGGCGGGCUGACUGACUGAGGGGAGGAUAGCUUGGAAAGCGGACCAACACUGAUUGAUCAGUGUUGAUGGAUAAUACCACAUUGAUCAGUCAGUUUUGGAAAGCCAAUAAAAUCUUUUUGAACUUCGA